GCCCCCAUAGUAUAGCCAGGAUAGAAUGCGAGGUUCCGGACCUUGAGACUUGGGUUCAAAUCCCAAUGGGGGCG
rnacentral:tRNA from 1 species